AGAGUUUGAUCCUGGCUCAGAAUGAACGCUGGCGGCACGCUUAACACAUGCAAGUCGAACGAGAUCUUCGGAUCUAGUGGCAGACGGGUGCGUAACGCGUGGGAACCUGCCCUUUAGUAAGGAAUAACUCAGGGAAACUUGUGCUAAUACCUUAUAAUCCCUUCGGGGGAAAGCUUUAUGCACCAUUGGAUGAGCCCGCACUUGAUUAGUUUGUUGGUAGGGUAAUGGCCUACCAAGACUGUGAUCAAUAGCUGAUUUGAGAGGAUGAUCAGCCACAUUGGGACUGAGACACGGCCCAAACUCCUACGGGAGGCAGCAGUGGGGAAUCUUGCACAAUGGAGGAAACUCUGAUGCAGCGAUGCCGCGUGAGUGAAGAAGGCCUUUGGGUUGUAAAGCUCUUUCGUCGGGGAAGAAAAUGACUGUACCCGAAUAAGAAGGUCCGGCUAACUUCGUGCCAGCAGCCGCGGUAAUACGAAGGGACCUAGCGUAGUUCGGAAUUACUGGGCUUAAAGAGUUCGUAGGUGGUUGAAAAAGUUGGUGGUGAAAUCCCAGAGCUUAACUCUGGGACUGCCAUCAAAACUUUUCAGCUAGAGUAUGAUAGAGGAAAGCAGAAUUUCUAGUGUAGAGGUGAAAUUCGUAGAUAUUAGAAAGAAUACCAAUUGCGAAGGCAACUUUCUGGAUCAUUACUGACACUGAGGAACGAAAGCAUGGGUAGCGAAGAGGAUUAGAUACCCCUCGUAGUCCAUGCCGUAAACGAUGUGUGUUAGACGUUGGAAAUUUAUUUUCAGUGUCGCAGGGGAAACCGAUAAAACACACCGCCCGGGGGAGUACGACCGCAAGGUUAAAACUCAAAUGAAUUGACGGGGACCCGCACAAGUAGUGGAGCAUGUGGUUUAAUUCGAAGAUACGCGCAGAACCUUACCAACACUUGACAUGUUCGUCGCGACUCUAAGAGAUUAGAGUUUUCGGUUCGGCCGGACGAAACACAGGUGCUGCAUGGCUGUCGUCAGCUCGUGUCGUGAGAUGUUGGGUUAAGUCCCGCAACGAGCGCAACCCUCACUUUUAGUUGCCAUCAUUAAGUUGGGCACUCUGAAAGAACUGCCAGUGAUAAGCUGGAGGAAGGUGGGGAUGACGUCAAGUCCUCAUGGCCCUUACGUGUUGGGCUACACACGUGCUACAAUGGCAUCUACAACAGGAAGCAAAACGGCAACGUUAAGCAAAUCCCGAAAAGAUGCCUCAGUUCGGAUUGCACUCUGCAACUCGAGUGCAUGAAGCUGGAAUUACUAGUAAUCGUGGAUCAGCGUGCCACGGUGAAUGCGUUCCCGGGUCUUGUACACACCGCCCGUCACACCAUGGGAGUUGGUUCUACCUUAAGGCAAGGUUUUAAACCCUUGACCACGGUAUAGUCAGCGACUGGGGUGAAGUCGUAACAAGGUAACC
rnacentral:rRNA from 1 species